rnacentral:lncRNA from 1 species
GGAAGAGAUUAACUUUCACUGUUGAUAUAUUCUAAGUUUUAUAUGGAACAGAACUCUCAGGUAGAAAAGUGAUUUUACUCUUCGAUUUGCAGAGCUUUCGAUAUCCAUCAUAAUUCCUGUCAUAUCCUGUGGAUAUUACUUUGACCAUUGCAGCCAGAAAUCCUGAUGUAAUCAGUUGUCUUCAGGGAGUUCUUUGAAUCAAAACCAUUAGGAGACUCUAAAUGAGCCCCGCUAGCGGCUCUUGCUGGGUUGUGCUCACAGAGACCAAACUGGGCCUCAGUUUGAGCCCAAAACCUCACACAUCAAUGAUUUAUUGCCAGACUGGGACACUUCUGAGAGAGAAAGGGGGCAUCAUGAAUAUUUGUUGUAAGGCGACUGGAACACACAGGGACUGGCCUGGGCAGACCAAGAAGCAAAGGUAUCCUAAUUCCUGUACUUGUGGCCUCUGGCUGACUCUUUCCACAAAACUCUUCCCAGGGGAACUUCUUCCUCCUUAGAACAA